rfam:Myotis lucifugus cont2.32974, whole genome shotgun sequence.
CGUGCACUGGUGGGGUCCCUCGGCCUGGCCUGCACCCUCUCACAAUGCAGGACCCCUUGGGGGAUAUUGGAGAGUUGUUUUCGGCCCAAUCUCUGCAGGCCAGGCUGAGGGACUCCACUGGUGCAUG